CGGGACACGUGGUAUCCUGUCUGAAUAUGGGGGGACCAUCCUCCAAGGCUAAAUACUCCUGACUGACCGAUAGUGAACCAGUACCGUGAGGGAAAGGCGAAAAGAACCCCGGCGAGGGGAGUGAAAAAGAACCUGAAACCGUGUACGUACAAGCAGUGGGAGCACAGAGCAAUCUGUGUGACUGCGUACCUUUUGUAUAAUGGGUCAGCGACUUAUAUUCUGUAGCAAGGUUAACCGAAUAGGGGAGCCGAAGGGAAACCGAGUCUUAACUGGGCGUUAAGUUGCAGGGUAUAGACCCGAAACCCGGUGAUCUAGCCAUGGGCAGGUUGAAGGUUGGGUAACACUAACUGGAGGACCGAACCGACUAAUGUUGAAAAAUUAGCGGAUGACUUGUGGCUGGGGGUGAAAGGCCAAUCAAACCGGGAGAUAGCUGGUUCUCCCCGAAAGCUAUUUAGGUAGCGCCUCGUGAAUUCAUCUCCGGGGGUAGAGCACUGUUUCGGCAAGGGGGUCAUCCCGACUUACCAACCCGAUGCAAACUGCGAAUACCGGAGAAUGUUAUCACGGGAGACACACGGCGGGUGCUAACGUCCGUCGUGAAGAGGGAAACAACCCAGACCGCCAGCUAAGGUCCCAAAGUCAUGGUUAAGUGGGAAACGAUGUGGGAAGGCCCAGACAGCCAGGAUGUUGGCUUAGAAGCAGCCAUCAUUUAAAGAAAGCGUAAUAGCUCACUGGUCGAGUCGGCCUGCGCGGAAGAUGUAACGGGGCUAAACCAUGCACCGAAGCUGCGGCAGCGACACUGUGUGUUGUUGGGUAGGGGAGCGUUCUGUAAGCCUGUGAAGGUGUGCUGUGAGGCAUGCUGGAGGUAUCAGAAGUGCGAAUGCUGACAUAAGUAACGAUAAAGCGGGUGAAAAGCCCGCUCGCCGGAAGACCAAGGGUUCCUGUCCAACGUUAAUCGGGGCAGGGUGAGUCGACCCCUAAGGCGAGGCCGAAAGGCGUAGUCGAUGGGAAACAGGUUAAUAUUCCUGUACUUGGUGUUACUGCGAAGGGGGGACGGAGAAGGCUAUGUUGGCCGGGCGACGGUUGUCCCGGUUUAAGCGUGUAGGCUGGUUUUCCAGGCAAAUCCGGAAAAUCAAGGCUGAGGCGUGAUGACGAGGCACUACGGUGCUGAAGCAACAAAUGCCCUGCUUCCAGGAAAAGCCUCUAAGCAUCAGGUAACAUCAAAUCGUACCCCAAACCGACACAGGUGGUCAGGUAGAGAAUACCAAGGCGCUUGAGAGAACUCGGGUGAAGGAACUAGGCAAAAUGGUGCCGUAACUUCGGGAGAAGGCACGCUGAUAUGUAGGUGAAGUCCCUCGCGGAUGGAGCUGAAAUCAGUCGAAGAUACCAGCUGGCUGCAACUGUUUAUUAAAAACACAGCACUGUGCAAACACGAAAGUGGACGUAUACGGUGUGACGCCUGCCCGGUGCCGGAAGGUUAAUUGAUGGGGUCAGCGCAAGCGAAGCUCUUGAUCGAAGCCCCGGUAAACGGCGGCCGUAACUAUAACGGUCCUAAGGUAGCGAAAUUCCUUGUCGGGUAAGUUCCGACCUGCACGAAUGGCGUAAUGAUGGCCAGGCUGUCUCCACCCGAGACUCAGUGAAAUUGAACUCGCUGUGAAGAUGCAGUGUACCCGCGGCAAGACGGAAAGACCCCGUGAACCUUUACUAUAGCUUGACACUGAACAUUGAGCCUUGAUGUGUAGGAUAGGUGGGAGGCUUUGAAGUGUGGACGCCAGUCUGCAUGGAGCCGACCUUGAAAUACCACCCUUUAAUGUUUGAUGUUCUAACGUGGACCCGUGAUCCGGGUUGCGGACAGUGUCUGGUGGGUAGUUUGACUGGGGCGGUCUCCUCCUAAAGAGUAACGGAGGAGCACGAAGGUUGGCUAAUCCUGGUCGGACAUCAGGAGGUUAGUGCAAUGGCAUAAGCCAGCUUGACUGCGAGCGUGACGGCGCGAGCAGGUGCGAAAGCAGGUCAUAGUGAUCCGGUGGUUCUGAAUGGAAGGGCCAUCGCUCAACGGAUAAAAGGUACUCCGGGGAUAACAGGCUGAUACCGCCCAAGAGUUCAUAUCGACGGCGGUGUUUGGCACCUCGAUGUCGGCUCAUCACAUCCUGGGGCUGAAGUAGGUCCCAAGGGUAUGGCUGUUCGCCAUUUAAAGUGGUACGCGAGCUGGGUUUAGAACGUCGUGAGACAGUUCGGUCCCUAUCUGCCGUGGGCGCUGGAGAACUGAGGGGGGCUGCUCCUAGUACGAGAGGACCGGAGUGGACGCAUCACUGGUGUUCGGGUUGUCAUGCCAAUGGCACUGCCCGGUAGCUAAAUGCGGAAGAGAUAAGUGCUGAAAGCAUCUAAGCACGAAACUUGCC
rnacentral:rRNA from 1 species